rfam:Gemmatimonadetes bacterium 13_1_40CM_70_15 13_1_40cm_scaffold_1503, whole genome shotgun sequence.
CCCCAGGUCCGCAGGUCAGCCGCUCGCGAACCGCGUCAGGCCCCCGCAGGGAGCAGCGCUAAGCGAUGUCGGAUGUCGCUGCGGGGAGCCUGGGGCAU